GUGCUCACUGUAGCAGCACAUAUACUAAAAUUGGAACAAUGUGGAGAUUAGCAUGGCACCUGCACAAGGAUGACUCGCAAAUUCAUAGAGUUCUAUAUUAAA
ensembl:snRNA U6 U6 spliceosomal RNA